rnacentral:tRNA from 1 species
GGGGUUGUAGCUCAGUUGGUAGAGUGCUUGCCUCACAUGUACAAAGCCCUGGGUUCAAUCCCCAGCACCACCA